GUACAGCAGCCGCGGUAAUACGUAGGGUGCGAGCGUUGUCCGGAAUUACUGGGCGUAAAGAGCUCGUAGGUGGUUUGUCGCGUUGUUCGUGAAAUCUCACGGCUUAACUGUGAGCGUGCGGGCGAUACGGGCAGACUAGAGUACUGCAGGGGAGACUGGAAUUCCUGGUGUAGCGGUGGAAUGCGCAGAUAUCAGGAGGAACACCGGUGGCGAAGGCGGGUCUCUGGGCAGUAACUGACGCUGAGGAGCGAAAGCGUGGGGAGCGAACAGGAUUAGAUACCCUGGUAGUCCACGCCGUAAACGGUGGGUACUAGGUGUGGGUUUCCUUCCUUGGGAUCCGUGCCGUAGCUAACGCAUUAAGUACCCCGCCUGGGGAGUACGGCCGCAAGGCUAAAACUCAAAGGAAUUGACGG
rnacentral:rRNA from 1 species